UUAGUACUCACUCCGUCCGAAAAUACUUGUCAUUAAAUGGAUAAAAAGAGAUGUAUUUUAAACUAAAAUACGUCUAGAAACAUCCCCUUUUAUUCAUUUUGAUGACAAGUAUUUCCGGACGGAGGGAGUAGGAC
rfam:Triticum aestivum genome assembly, contig: Triticum_aestivum_CS42_TGACv1_scaffold_394130_5AS